GGGGGUAUAGCUCAGUGGUUAGAGCACCCGCAUACGUAUCGGAAGGUCGGGGGUUCGACUUCCUCUGCUUCCA
rnacentral:tRNA from 1 species